CACAUGCAGUCGAACGGAAUCUUUCGAGGAUUUAGUGGCGGACGGGUGAGUACGCGUGAGAAUCUGCCUUUAGGACGGGAACAACAACUGGAAACGGUUGCUANAGCCCGAUUGUUGCCCUUCGGGGUGAAAAUAUUUAUUAGCCUGAAGAUGAUCUCGCGUCAGAUUAGCUAGUUGGUUGGGUAAUGGCCGACCCAAGGCGACGAUCUGUAACUGGUCUGAGAGGAUGGCCAGUCACACUGGGACUGAGACACGGCCCAGACUCCUACGGGAGGCAGCAGUGGGGAAUUUUCCGCAAAUGGGCGAAAGCCCUGACGGAGCAAUACCGCGUGAGGGAGGAAGGCUCUUGGGUCGUAAACCUCUUUUAUCAGGGAAGAAGACAGUGACGGUACCUGAUGAAUCAGCAUCGGCUAACUCCGUGCCAGCAGCCGCGGUAAUACGGAGGAUGCAAGCGUUAUCCGGAAUUAUUGGGCGUAAAGCGUCCGCAGGUGGUUUUGAAAGUUUGCUGUCAAAGCGCGGAGCUUAACUUCGUACGGGCAGUUGAAAAACUACGAGACUAGAGUUUGGUAGGGGUCACGGGAAUUCCCAGUGUUAGCGGUGAAAUGCGUAGAGAUUGGGAAGAACACCAGCGGCGAAA
rnacentral:rRNA from 1 species